rnacentral:rRNA from 1 species
UUGAACGCUGGCGGCAUGCCUUACACAUGCAAGUCGAACGGCAGCACGGGUGCUUGCACCUGGUGGCGAGUGGCGAACGGGUGAGUAAUACAUCGGAACAUGUCCUGUAGUGGGGGAUAGCCCGGCGAAAGCCGGAUUAAUACCGCAUACGAUCUACGGAUGAAAGCGGGGGACCUUCGGGCCUCGCGCUAUAGGGUUGGCCGAUGGCUGAUUAGCUAGUUGGUGGGGUAAAGGCCUACCAAGGCGACGAUCAGUAGCUGGUCUGAGAGGACGACCAGCCACACUGGGACUGAGACACGGCCCAGACUCCUACGGGAGGCAGCAGUGGGGAAUUUUGGACAAUGGGCGAAAGCCUGAUCCAGCAAUGCCGCGUGUGUGAAGAAGGCCUUCGGGUUGUAAAGCACUUUUGUCCGGAAAGAAAUCCUUGGCUCUAAUACAGUCGGGGGAUGACGGUACCGGAAGAAUAAGCACCGGCUAACUACGUGCCAGCAGCCGCGGUAAUACGUAGGGUGCGAGCGUUAAUCGGAAUUACUGGGCGUAAAGCGUGCGCAGGCGGUUUGCUAAGACCGAUGUGAAAUCCCCGGGCUCAACCUGGGAACUGCAUUGGUGACUGGCAGGCUAGAGUAUGGCAGAGGGGGGGUAGAAUUCCACGUGUAGCAGUGAAAUGCGUAGAGAUGUGGAGGAAUACCGAUGGCGAAGGCAGCCCCCUGGGCCAAUACUGACGCUCAUGCACGAAAGCGUGGGGAGCAAACAGGAUUAGAUACCCUGGUAGUCCACGCCCUAAACGAUGUCAACUAGUUGUUGGGGAUUCAUUUCCUUAGUAACGUAGCUAACGCGUGAAGUUGACCGCCUGGGGAGUACGGUCGCAAGAUUAAAACUCAAAGGAAUUGACGGGGACCCGCACAAGCGGUGGAUGAUGUGGAUUAAUUCGAUGCAACGCGAAAAACCUUACCUACCCUUGACAUGGUCGGAAUCCCGCUGAGAGGUGGGAGUGCUCGAAAGAGAACCGGCGCACAGGUGCUGCAUGGCUGUCGUCAGCUCGUGUCGUGAGAUGUUGGGUUAAGUCCCGCAACGAGCGCAACCCUUGUCCUUAGUUGCUACGCAAGAGCACUCUAAGGAGACUGCCGGUGACAAACCGGAGGAAGGUGGGGAUGACGUCAAGUCCUCAUGGCCCUUAUGGGUAGGGCUUCACACGUCAUACAAUGGUCGGAACAGAGGGUUGCCAACCCGCGAGGGGGAGCUAAUCCCAGAAAACCGAUCGUAGUCCGGAUUGCACUCUGCAACUCGAGUGCAUGAAGCUGGAAUCGCUAGUAAUCGCGGAUCGGCAUGCCGCGGUGAAUACGUUCCCGGGUCUUGUACACACCGCC